ensembl:lncRNA
GCCCCUCCCGCCGCCGCCUCGCGCGGAGCCGCACAGCGCCGCUGCCGCUCCGACUGCGCCGCCGCGGGAGGUGGAAGAGCAAAGCAAGUGAUUCUCCAUCAGCUCACCCAGUCGGGUACCAUCAGCAUCCCCGCAUGGAGGUGAGUGGGAAGAGCCCCAGCAGGAGGCAGAACGAAAGGCGUAGCUGCAGUCCGUGCUGCGGGGCUCUCACGGACCGGGGACGUUUUCAAUCUUAGCCCUGCCUUCCGAAGGCUCCCCGCGGUGCCACCCAUCCGUGCUGCAGCCAAAAUCAGCGGCAGUGGGCGCUGCACCCGGCAGCACAAUGAACGGCCUAAAAACUCCAUUCUCUUUGCACGCAGUUUUUGUCACUGUUAAACCUCGGCCAGCGGUGAAGGAUCUGCAGGUACCAAACAGGAACAAAACCUUCUAUUCCUAUUUAAUUGCUCGGCUCAACCGGCCCACGAAAUGAGGCUUUCCUCGCUCCAAAAAUACCUGAAUUUGGGUAGGUAAUGGCUGUAAUAGCUGCAAUUAUUCCAGGGGCUGUUUGAGUUGUCAGCUUUAUUCUCCCAAAUACCUGGAGAACAAUGGAGAUGAGUGCCGUGAUCCGAACUGCUGGCAGCACCGCAGCUCACCUCUCCGCACGGCAAAGCCCGUGUAUUUAAAUACAAUUAAGAAGCUUUCACAAGUGAGUAAUUCCAGGACUGGGAUUAAGGGAUGUGGUCAAGCAGGAUGCCUAUUGUCUGUGUGGAAGGGAAAAUCUGCUUCCCUUCGGUCUGGGCUGUAUCGCUCUGCCCUAAUAAACCACUGCCACUUACCAUGCUCUCUUGUGUUUAUUGAAUAUCCACAGCCUCACGUUUACGAAUCAGAGACGUGCUGCUAUCUGUACAGACCAACUGCAGGUUAAACGUUUCUGCUUCAAACGUCUCCAUUGGAAAGGAGCAGCUGAGCUAUGGGGUGUGUGGCCCACCGUGCUGUGCCCCCUCCACUGUUUGCUGCACUGACACUGCUGGCGAUGAGCUCAGCUCAUGGCUUCCCCCAUCCUGCACACAUCACACAUUCUUCAGGGCAACGUUUCAGUUUCCUCACCUCUCCCAGUGGGAGAAAUACACAACUGUCACACACCGAAAUAUAUUUUGUAUGUAUUUUUAUGUAUUCUAUACUCAUUUUGUUCCCGUGAGUUUUAUUUCAGCCCGGCCGUUUCCUUCCUCGCUCUCACUAUGGCUCCUGGCCCAUUGUUUUGGAUUUCUCAGCACUGACAAAAAUUUCCCUUCAGAGAUUCACUCACAGCAUUGGCUGUGACUUCUGGUUAAGCUCAGCACACCGCAAGGAAGGCACACAGACUGUGAAUGAGGAGAGGAAAACCAAAUGCUCUGUGCUCCCCAGUGGGAAUCAGAGACUCAUAGAACGGCCUGGGAUGAAAAGGCCCACAAUGCUCAUCCAGUUCCACCCCCCUGCUAUGUGCAGGGUCACCAACCAGCAGCCCAGGCUGCCCAGAGCCACAUCCAGCCUGGCCUUGAAUGCCUGCAGGGAUGGGGCACCCACAGCCUCCUUGGGCAACCUGUUCCAGAGCUCUUCAGACCGCUCUGUCUGUGCCUGUUGUGAUGGUAACCUGCUGGGUGCAGCGACAGAGCAGUAGCAGUGUGUGAAGUGGUGUAUGCAGUGCUGUAGUUGGUAGUUUUGUUCAAGCACACCUCUGUAGGGCAGUUACACCUCUGCCCCGCUGUGCGUAUUCCUGGAGUUUCAGUGCUGGGUAAUGGCAAAGCGUACACAUGGAGCAUUGGGAAUAUGAGAUCUGUAACUCCAUAGUUUGCUCUAUUAUAAUACAAAUGUUAAAGCUCAAACCCCAUCUCUCCUUCUUUUCACCAACACAUUUUCCCUGUGGGGUGAGACCAGAGGGCCAUUUACACAACCAGUCCCAGAGUUCACCAUCACAAGCUCUGGUUUUCCACCCUUAACCAACCAGAGUGAAACAAGUGGGGAACCCUGGGACUUUUAGAUGGGGCGCACGGUGCUUCACCAUUUACUGCUCACUUUCCCAUUCCCACUGCACGGCCCUCCUGCCCUCAUCCUCCAGCCCACCCCGCAGUGCACUGAGUUGGCAGAGAUGUCUGAUAAAACAGAAUAAGGACUGACAAAAACACCCAAAUUCCCGAUAAAUACCAUCUAAAAGGAGGGCAGUGGAUGUCCUCGGAGCCAGAGGUAUUCACACAGCACCGUGCAGCAGCUCUGCUCUUUUCUGUCUGAAACAGGUCUUUUUUAAUCUAUCUGCUGCCGUUUUAUUCUUUCCGCACAAAAGCUGGAAAUGUUUGAUUCCAGCCCGGCACUUUGCUGGCAAACACUGAUAGCACAUAUGGGCCCUUCUGGAUACUGGAGGUAUCCAGCAACUGUCUGCAGACGUCCGGGCUCUGGAGUGCAGAAAUGAAAGGCUGGGAGGGGGGAAGCUGUCCCUGCAGGAAGCAAUCUGGAGGGGUUCUGCGUUUGCCUUUCCUUUGUUGUUACCACCCUGUUAAGGCCUCAGCUGAAGGGUAUUCCUCGAUUGUGGGGAGCCACGAGAAAAGGGGGGGUGUGCAAGGAAUUGGAAAGCAGGAGCCCUCCUUCCAUGCAGAGCUGCCCAGCGGCACCCAGCCGGGCCAGCACAUCUGAUUCCCAAAGUGCUCAUUAACUCCUUCAUUAAUUAAAAAGCCAUCUCAAGCCAUUUCGGGUUCUGCUUCAAGUUGUACAUCCAUAACUCCCAAGGUGGUCUUGCAAACGCUGUCCGUUUGUGACUGCAACCCGUUGUGACCCGGAGAGAACACGCGGUUCUACCACGCCGCUGUUUGCAGAGGCGCAGAGCCAGAGCCCCGCAGAGCUGCAUGCUGCAGAUGGAUGAGGUGCUGCACGACGGUGGCACGGAGGCGCGGAGCUGCGCUGGGCAGCCCUCUGCAUCCCUGCUGGGCUCAGAGCCACUGCUGUGUGCGGGGCAGGGAGCACCGCGCCGUCCUGCGGGAGGUGUGUGGCCGUGUUUGUGGCUGUGCAUAAGCUGCAAUGUGAUUGCACAGAAAUGGUGCGCAGCUCCGGAGGCUCGGAACGGGCCGGGGAGUCAGGAAUGUGCCGUGAACUCAUUGCAAAGCUAUGCAGGCCAAGAUUCCCUCGCUCGUCCUCUGGUUGUGGUCACAUCGCGAUGCUGUCGGCCCUGCUCUUGGGACGAGCUGAGCACUAAAAGUAGCUCCCACUGACAUAAGUGAAACACCGGGAGCUCACAGCUCCUCCACACCGAUGAUUUGUGUCCCCACUCAUCUUCAGCAGCUGCUUUUAUCACAGCUCUGCAUGCCUACAGCCAUCCUUACUCCCUGCAAUCUGCUCCCCGGCGCUCAGUGGCCCCGCAGAGCUCACAGGUGUGUGGUACCCCGCAGCCAUCUGGGCAGCUCGGGGCCAUCCCAGGCUGCAGAGUCCACAAAGUUCCAUUCUCUGCAGGCUGUCUUUCGCCUCCCAGCGCCGAAGCAAGCAGUGCGCUCACACGGUGCCAGCAGUGAGCAGAACAGAGUGCCUUCUGCAGGCAGAACCCCGCUCGUUUAUCUCCCAGCAGAGCUGCAAAGGGCGCCUCCUCUCGGGGGGGGUUCUCCCAUCCUCCCCCCCUGCAGAGUUCCGUCCCAUGGCUGAUGCGGUGCUCUGCUUCCCACUGCAGUGCUGUGCAUUUACAAACCGGGAAGGACUCCGUCAGGUGGGAGAGCAGCGCUGGCGGUGAGGCAGGAGGGAUUCGUUUCCACCAGCACAGCUCUGCUCACGGCUCCGGCUGCUUCGUGACUGAUGUGCUGCUCGUAUUGCCCACGGGCAGAUCCUUCCCACAGAUACCCACACUGUAUUUAAGCAGUGGGCUUUUGCUGCUGUCCUUAUGGGCCUUUGCGGCACAGCACUUCCCGUCGGGGAGCAGCUCCUGGGGAAGGGCCCAGCGGUGGUGCUGUGAGAUGUGCACACAGUGAAGGUGGGCUCUGCCCGCUGGUGGUGGGUCCUCCAUUUUAGUGCUGCGUCGCUACAGGCGCUGAUUCCAAAGCUCUGAACAAUGUGUGUCUGCUCCGUGGAAGGCCCCGGGCUCUGCUAACCUGUAAUUUCAGAAAUGGCUCACAGAUUUAAGCUGCAGUUUCAAGAAUGAAUUUCCCCGCGGGCUGAUGGCUUUUGCAGCCUAAACCAGCGUCAGAGCGACACGGAGACCUUCACUUAAACCGAGCUGCACCAGAAAAACAGGGCUGAGGAACAGAGCGUGUGAGCAUUAAUUAUGGCAGCACGGCUGUAAUUAUCCCGUUUGCUGAGGCCGUCUCCCUCCGGUCGCGUCGGUCGCUUCGUAACGCGAUGCGCACAGCAGCCCUCCUUCCUUCUGCUCUCUCAGUGCUGAUCACAAUUAGACGUCGUUUCUACUUGCAGCUGCUAUUAAUAAAUCCACUCCUCGAAAAUUCGGAGCUUAAUUUCUUCGGGUUCAGCGCACUCACAAAGCUAUUGAAGAACAUAAUUGCCCGUGGCUGUAAUUUGGCAGUCAUUACGGAAGUAUUGCUGAACGUCUUCUUUCCAAAUCAACCUGAAUUCCCCACAGUGAAGGGUCCCUGGCAGGAAAUAAAGCAGCCCCCGGGUGCCCCCCCCCCCCACAGCCACUCCUCGCUGCACCUCCGUGGCAUAUCACGGGGCACAGAAGUUGUUCCUUUGGUCCAUGGGAACAAGACGAGGUGGGGCAGAUGUCCCUCCCACCACCAACGUACUGAAAGGGGGGGAUUCCCAGUGGGCUGCAGCCUCAUUGUGGAGGACACACAUCCAGAAAAAGCUGGAUCCAGAGAGCUGGAGAUGGGGCAGAGACAAAGCACGGCAAAGAAAUGCAUCUGCUCAUCUCCUGUGCUACACUCAGAGCUGCCCGUGCCCCAGUGGGGAUGCAGAUGUUUGCAGCCCUGCUGGGAACCAGCAGCUGGGACACAUGGAGCCUGAGAAAUUCAUCCCUGCCGCUGUGCAAAU